AUUGAACGCUGGCGGCAUGCUUUACACAUGCAAGUCGAACGGUAACAGGUUAAGCUGACGAGUGGCGAACGGGUGAGUAAUGCAUCGGAACGUGCCCGGUCGUGGGGGAUAACGCAGCGAAAGCUGCGCUAAUACCGCAUACGAUCUGAGGAUGAAAGCGGGGGACCGUAAGGCCUCGCGCGAUCGGAGCGGCCGAUGUCAGAUUAGGUAGUUGGUGGGGUAAAGGCUCACCAAGCCGACGAUCUGUAGCUGGUCUGAGAGGACGACCAGCCACACUGGGACUGAGACACGGCCCAGACUCCUACGGGAGGCAGCAGUGGGGAAUUUUGGACAAUGGGCGCAAGCCUGAUCCAGCAAUGCCGCGUGCAGGAAGAAGGCCUUCGGGUUGUAAACUGCUUUUGUACGGAGCGAAAAGGCUCUCUCUAAUACAGGGGGCUCAUGACGGUACCGUAAGAAUAAGGGGAUGCUAAUCACGUGCCAGCAGCCGCCGUAA
rnacentral:rRNA from 1 species